GAUGAACGCUGGCGGCGUGCCUAAUACAUGCAAGUCGAGCGAACAGACGAGGAGCUUGCUCCUCUGACGUUAGCGGCGGACGGGUGAGUAACACGUGGAUAACCUACCUAUAAGACUGGGAUAACUUCGGGAAACCGGAGCUAAUACCGGAUAAUAUAUUGAACCGCAUGGUUCAAUAGUGAAAGACGGUUUUGCUGUCACUCAUAGAUGGAUCCGCGCCGCAUUAGCUAGUUGGUAAGGUAACGGCUUACCAAGGCAACGAUGCGUAGCCGACCUGAGAGGGUGAUCGGCCACACUGUAACUGAGACACGGUCCAGACUCCUACGGGAGGCAGCAGUAGGGAAUCUUCCGCAAUGGGCGAAAGCCUGACGGAGCAACGCCGCGUGAGUGAUGAAGUUCUUCGGAUCGUAAAACUCUGUUAUUAGGGAAGAACAAAUGUGUAAGUAACUAUGCACGUCUUGACGGUACCUUAUCAGAAAGCCACGGCUAACUACGUG
rnacentral:rRNA from 1 species